GCUAAGCAUUCUGUUUGCCUAGAUGUCUUAGAAGAUAUGUAACCCAAAUUGUGGAAAUUUAGGAAUUCCUUAUUUUCCGAUGCUAUGAUGAGAGCAUAGUGAGAGCAACAUUCAUAUUAUAUGUAGUACACAUAUUCCAGGAAGCCGGAGAAAUCCUUAAGGAUGGCCCAAAGAGGUGUACAAUGAGAAGAAUUUAAAGGAACAUUGUCAACUCAAUUU